rnacentral:rRNA from 1 species
GAUGAACGCUGGCGGCGUGCUUAACACAUGCAAGUCGAACGGAAAGGCUCCUGCUUUCAGGGGUACUCGAGUGGCGAACGGGUGAGUAACACGUGGGUGAUCUGCCCUGCACUUCGGGAUAAGCCUGGGAAACUGGGUCUAAUACCGGAUAGGACCACAUUUUGGAUGGUGUGGUGGAAAGUUUUUCGGUGUGGGAUGAGCUCGUGGCCUAUCAGCUUGUUGGUGGGGUAAUGGCCUACCAAGGCGUCGACGGGUAGCCGGCCUGAGAGGGUGUACGGCCACAUUGGGACUGAGAUACGGCCCAGACUCCUACGGGAGGCAGCAGUGGGGAAUAUUGCACAAUGGGCGCAAGCCUGAUGCAGCGACGCCGCGUGGGGGAUGACGGCCUUCGGGUUGUAAACUCCUUUCGCUAGGGACGAAGCGCAAGUGACGGUACCUGGUGAAGAAGCACCGGCUAACUACGUG